UUUCUCUCAGUACUUUGCUAGACAUAUACUUAUUUAUUAAAUAUUAUAGCUUAUAAGCAAAUGCUAGAUACGCUCUGUUAUGCUUAGAAGACUAUCUAGUGACCAGCUUCUGCAAAUUUAGUAUGAUGGUAUUAAUUGCAAUGCAAGUGAUAACAAUACUGGAUACUGAAUAUAGCAGUUGUGAUGCUGUCAGUGUGAAUUUUUAAUUGAGAUGAAUUACUUAUCGAAUCUUACUUUGUAUGGCAUGACGAAGACAGAUAGGACAAACAGUCACAGAGAGGAGAGUUUUGCAACGCGCAAUCUCUGCGUCUUUUCUGUUUUCCCUUUGUUCGGAGAUAACCAGCUUACCGGACUUGUACCAAGGUAGAGGAUGACUCCAUUUGUACUCUUCCUGUCAUCUACGUCACCCCCAAGCUGCUGUCACUACAACCGAGCAGUUUCUUCACUUCUCCCAUAGAAACAGCCCAGCUUUAGUGUUCCCUUCACGCAUGAUGAGGACCGAACCUUGUGGCAAGAUCUGAUCUGUUGCGGCCUGACCUUUAACGACACACCACCUUCAGUAGCAGCAACCUCUCGCCUGCGCACACGAUGUACACGAGUAGAGGGUUUGAAGCUUGCGAUCCAGCACGAGAGAACCAAUCUCGACGAAGGAACUCACACGCAAAACAAUUUCCUCGCAGAGAAAUCGCAACACGGAGGUUUUCUAAAGCUUCCUCCAAAACUUAGGGAUUUUAGACAGCUUCCCCCAAAACUCGAUACGGGUAUUUACCCUAAAAACACAUCGUGUUUAUUCAUAAAAUAUAUCCUCCGUUUGCACCCCUUUGUCAACGACUGCCGCAGAUGCCUACAACCCCUUGUCAAUGACCGGUGUAUUCAUCAUGACCUGUGUACUAUGAAUGUUUGCGCUAGGGUAUUGCCGCAUCAUCCUCCCUUUCUUGAAAAGAAAACGUCCGUGUUUUCAAGUUGUCCUUCAAAGCUUUUUCCUUGCAUACUGUCAGCACCAUAUCUGAGCAAAUCAAUUUCUCUUCGAUUGGCUUUGUGUCCUUUGCUUCCCAUCGUGGACAAAAGUAUAUGUAUUCAUCCUUCUGGCAUGUGUUGCAUUGCGGUCGUACUGCCAUGGUUGUCCAAGCAAUAAAUCACAAACUUCCAGUGGCAAAACGUCGCACUCCACCUCAUCAAUAUAUGGUCCAACUGAAAAUGACACACGCACCUUAUGUGUAAUUUUGAGCUGUCCACAACUGUUCAACCGCUCCAAAUGAUGUGGUUCGUCGUAUCGCCACGUGGACAAACCAAGCUUUGCAACCAACGCCCUGCUAAUGCCAUUUGUGCAGCUACCUCCAUCGAUAAUCAAUUUGCAGGAAAUUCCCUUGAUAUCGCACCGAGUCUGAAACAAACUCGCUGUCCUUUGUCCACCUUAUUAUUACCAUACUGUACCCUCUUGAUUUGUAUGUUCAGCUCAGUGAGUCGUAUUGCCUCUCCCUCCUUUAUUUUAAUGGCCGCAUGUGCUUCCUGAACCUUGCCCAUAGCAUGUACUAUUUUUGCUAUUCUCAUCUCUAUUAAUCACCAUUGCCCCUGACUUGUUGAGCUCCUCAUGUGAAGAAAUAUUUUUAACUACAACAAGAUCACUCUCAGCCCCUUUCUUUUCUGGUAAUAUCUCAGCUUUGUUUUUCUUUGCAUCAAUUGUAGCGUGUGCAUGGUCUCGCCUCUUGCGAUCUACCAAAUAUUUUUCGGAAGUGUAGGAUUCAAAAGAAACCCACUGCCCCUUAUGAAGAAACUGAAUUUUCCUCCAAGAAAAACUGCAAGAUUUGUCGCUGCGUAGCUCCCUCUUUUUUGUCCAUGGUUGACCCAAAAUCAUAGAACAUACGUACAUAUUGGUGAGGAAACACAUCACGAACAACCAAGUCGGUAAAUCCACAUAAUUUGAAGCGCACCUCCACUUGAUAUUUGAUAGUUAGGAAUUGGCCCUGCCACGAGAGCUUAUAUGGACCCCCAAAAACAAAAAGAGAGCUUAUAUGGGUCAGGAUGUUCUAUCACUGAUAACUUCAACGCAUCCACCAUGGUUUGACUCGCCAAAUUUAUUUUUGAAGAACGAUCCAUCAUUGUAGCACAAGUAAUUCUUCCCACUUGCACCCUUGUGUAGAUCUGAAACCAAGAAAGUGCAGUUGCCGGAUCCUUCUCACUUCGUGACAUCUCACCUUCGAAGUAAUACUCCGUUCUCAUUGCAAUUUUAGAAUCUGUACCAACAAAUUAUUGGGGAAAUUUGCACCGUAAUAAACCCAGUAUUCUGAUACCAGUUGAUGAGAUUUUUAGACAGCUUCCCCUCAAAACUCGAUACGGGUAUUUUACCCUAAAAACACAUUGUCUUUAUUCAUAAAAUAUAUCCUCUGUUUGCACCCCUUUGUUAACGACUGCCGCAGAUGCCUGCAACCCCUUGUCAAUGAUUGGUGUAUUCAUCAUGACCUGUGUACUAUGCAUGUUUGCGCUAGGGUAUGCCGCAUCAACGCAGGAUAUGCUUCACGGCCGCCGAGUGAUCUGUUGCAGGUUUGUCCAUGUAUCCGCUAACCUCUGAAGUUUCCGACAGCAAACAUACUGGGUCAGAUUGCUCAAUAUUCAGAAUAUAGAGCCUCUUGGGUGAUCUCCUGACUUCUGCAAGGACCUUGCACUCCUUACCCAACAUAAUCAUCAGCCCUUGAUCAAACAGCGUACUCGCAACCAAACUCAUCCAACUGCCCGAGACUGUUUAUAUUGCUUUUCAGCUAAAGUUCAGUUAACAGUUGGUGUUCACCAUUGUGUGCAAGAAAGAGAGCUGGACCACAUCCCUCGAUGCCCACAACUAAUCCAUCUCGAAUCAAACUGAACUUUUAAUCUUUCGGUCCAGCUUGACGUACUUCUCCACACAGCUUGUCAUGUGGUUGCUUGCUCCAGUAUCAAGAUACCAGGACUUGUUUCGUGACCCUGUCAUUUUGGGUGUGACUUUUUCUUUGUGCGGUAUCACCUGGUCACCUGUGACUUCAGUGUUCUCAACCAGCUCACACACCUCAGUCAUGAGCAGCGCAACAUCUUCAUCAGUUUGGGUGUUGACUUUUUCUUUGUGCAGCAUCACCUUGUCACCUGUGACUCACACACCUCGGUCAUGAGCAGCGCAACAUCUUCAUCGGUUUGCUUCUGUGUCAGGUUUGCACGCUCCUGCUUUGGCUCUGCACAGUCGGAGGCAAAAUGUCCAUGCUCAUCUCAGACCUUCGAAAUAUUGAACUUCCUAUGUUUCUUUUGCUUUCCUUUUCCGCUGUUCUCAUGUGGUUGCUUGUUCCAGUAUCAAGAUACAAGGACUUGUUUGGUGACCCUGUUAGUUUGGGUGUGACUUUUUCUUCGUGCUGCAUCACCUUGUCACCCGUGACUUAAGUAUUCUCAGCUACCUCACAUACCUUGGUCAUGAGCGGCGCUGCAUCUGCAUCUUAAUCGGUUUGCUUCUGUGUCAGGUUGCUCACUACCGUUUCUGCUUGGAUAGUUAGAGGUGAAAUGUCCAUGCUCAUCAUAGUUAAAACACUUCACCUUUGAAAUGACGAACUUCCUAUGUUUCUUCCAUUGUUCUUAAGGCCGUAAGCCGAGGCAAGGAGCCCAAGCCCCACCUUACCUUUGAAGUGUGUAAGUCGAGGCGGUAAGGCGAGGCAAGGUUACUCCUUAGACAUAGAAGGAACAGGGCAAUCAAGUAGUUUAGCAGCAGUUUAGCACGUACUAUGCACUUCCCUGUAUUGCAAGGAAUGCCACGACCUAUGCACUUCCUUGCGGCCCAAAAGCCCAUCUAGUAGCUAUAUACUCCCGUGACCUAAUUCCACUAUCCUCACUCCCCCUCCCAUUUCUAGAUAAUAUCUAGAAUGUUGAAUCUUAACUAAUGUUUUCUAGAGUGUUUUAGCUAUCAGUAGAAGUUGAUAUGUGAAGGCUUCCCAAAGCCCUAUAAAUAAAGGUUCUCACCUCUAGUUUGUAACCAGACUGUGUACCCCACUAUCUAGAACUUGGUGUUCUUAUCUAAGAUCUUGGAUUAGAUCUUGUGCUCUAGGAGUUUUGAUUGAACUGCUGCUGCCACAUUGGCCUGUUUCCGCCUAGCUAUAUCUAGCACAUCACGUUUUCCUUCAACACAUGCGAUGUACACUUUGUAGCAGCAAGGUGGAGUUUCUCCUCCACAACCUUGUUUUGUUUCAGGUGGUACCAGACCCCUGUUGAUCCGUAGUAGUUCUUGGUGUCCUCUUUGAGAGAGCUGUAGCAAGUGAUAGAGCAAUUGGAGGAGAGUAUGGAUGCUGCAGAACAACAAAUUGAAACGCUGUGUAAAGAUCGUAAUUCAAGAUUCGAUCAACUAGUUGAGAUGAAAAGAAAGAGUGCCCCCCUGUUGCCAAUGAUGAAAAUUCAUAGAUGGUGGACGAAGAUGUUCAACAGGAAAUAAAGGGAGGUAGUCUUCAAGCAAGACUACCACAACAACGUGCAUUGUUUUUAAGGCGUCCGGCGCCUUGCAAGCCCAAGGCGUCCACCUUUCCUUAGGUACCUACGUAAGGUGUCCGCCUUAAGCUUUAAGGCGUCUGAAGCGUCAGCAUAGACGUCCAGGUUGGCGCCCUAGUCUAUAUUGGACGCCUUGAGCUUGCCAGGCAGGCAUGGGAGCAGUUUUAGGCGGGAAACAGAGUCUUGGCAGGAAACAUAGAUGCUAUUGGCGCCAACAGGUAAGAGAGGGGAGAUAGAGAGAGAAACAACCCCCAAUCCACACGCACCUCCUCCUCUCCAGUGGCUCUCACUCACAUCCCUCGAAUCUCUUUUAGUGGCUAGUAGAACUAAGUUUUUCUUGUCGCUCUUCGUGGAGUCACUCAAUUUUGGCUUGUGGCGCUCACUCUCUUUUUGGUGGUUCACUCUCUCACUAGUCUCUCCACGAAGCCUCGAUGCUUGCUUGUCGGCGAUCACUUGACUUGGCGACAUGUGUCGAAUCACGUACUCCUUGCCCUUCAUCUUGAAGCUAUAGUGAUUGGUUCGCCCGUUGUGGAUGACACCGUGUUCGAAUUGCUAAGGUCGUCCUAGGAGAUGACACACAGACAUAGGAACCACAUCACACUCCAAGGUGUCUUCGUAUGCGCCGAUCUUGAAGGAUACUUGAACGGUGUGCUCCACUUGAAUGGUACAAGAGUCACUUAGCCAUUGGACCUUGUAGGGGCGAGGGUGCUUCUUGACCAAUUGUAGCUUGGAGCAUAAUUCUUCACUUGCCAAAUUGUGGCAAUUUGCGCCGUCGAUGAUCACCUUGACGGAACGUCCUUGGAUGCCCGCAUUGGUGUGGAAGAUAGGGCAACAUUUGUCUUCAUCUUAUUGUUGUUGAAGUGUCAAGAUCUUGGAGCAACAAGAGCGGGGCUCGGAUCGUUGUCGCAAAAGAUUUGCGCAUCUUCAUCUUCAUUCACUUGGCGAUGCAUGGCCACGUGCUCUAGUGCUUCCAUGUCCUCUUCGCUCAUGGAGUCAUAGGUGCCGUCAUCAUUGGCAAUCAUUGUGCACCGUGUGGGGCACUCGAAUAUCUUGUGGCCACGGCCCUUGCAAGUGAAACAUUGAAUUGAACUUGCCUUGGCGGUAGCAUCCGUUGGAGUAGUUGACGAGGAAGCUCUUGGCUUGUAGGUUCUUGAAAGAGGACGACUCAAAGAUGUCGUAGCUUGCUUAGAACUUGAUUUGUCACUGGUGUGGGGUGAAGCUCGAGUAGUAGUUGUAGGCGUCGUAGUUGUGGAAGCUUGGGAAUAGGAGCCGUAGGUCUUGGAAGAGUACUUGUACUUGAAGUCAUCUUGCACUUAUCGCUCCGCCUUGGUCGCUCGGUACACUAGUUCAAGGAGAUUGGAGUAAGGUUGGAAAUAGGCAAUCUUCUUGAUUGGGUGGUUGAGGCCAUUCAAGAAGCGUGCCAUAGUUUGCUCGUCAUCUUCCUUGACGUUGGCUCGUAUCAUGGCAAUCUCCCAUCUCUUGGUAGUAUUCUUCCACCGACUUUGUGCCUUGCUUGAGGAGUUGCAACGAGCUCUCAUGAUAUCCUUCAUUUGGUUCCAAGUCGUGAUGGGUGGAUCGCCUUUCUCCCUUUGUCGCUCAAUCGCUUGCUCCCACCAAAUGAGGACAUAGUCUUGAAACUCAAGGGAGGCCAUGGUGAUUUUCUUCUCCUCUUCAUAAUUGUGUAGCCGGAAUAUCUUGUCGACCUUCAUUGCCCAUGAGAGGUAUUUUUCAGGAUCGGUGCUUCCGGAGAACUUUGGCAUGGUGAAUUUGAGCUUGUCGUAGCGUUGUUCUUCAUCAUAGUGGCGAUGAUGAUGUCGCUCAUGUCUUGGAGGUGGGUCUUCAACCUCUUGUUCCUUAUGAUUGGCUUGACGUUGAGGGUGAGGGAUUCUUGCUUGGUUCCUCCUUUCUUGGCGCUCCGCAAGACGAGCGGCUAAAUCUUGUUGCUCUUGACAGAGCUCUUCUUGUUCACAUACUCGGUUGCGCUCAUUGACGGCGCGAGUGGCUUCUCGGAGAGCACGUUGUGCUUCAAGCGCUUGUUCCUCACGGUGUUGUUCUUGCCGUAGUGCGUCGCCGUCUUGGUCGCCUUGGCGUCGGCGUUGUCGAGCUUGCCCUUGGUCCAUGGCAUCUUGUUCUUGGUGACGAUGUCGUCCACGCUCUCGAAGACGGUCUUGCAACCCCUUGCCAUGGAAUGGAUUUUAUGAAGCUUGAUGCUCGUCCCGAUGAUGAGAACGAUGUUUUGUUUUGACCUUGAUGAGAACGAUGUUGUGGAGGACUUGCAUCGGAAGAGGUGUCCGAAGAGUGGUGACUCGAGUGGCGCCGUCUUGAUGAAGAAGAUGUGGAAGAAGUGCGGUUGGCCAUUAAGGCACGAAAUUCUUCCAUUUGAGUGGAUAGCUUGGCGUCAAGGUAGUCCCGGAUCCUUGCUUUUGAGUGGCGUAAGUCGGUGGCGAGUUGCUCGAUGCGUUCGCCCAAAGCUUCACUUUCUUGAUGUAGUGCUCGUUGAACGCCGAAGAGAUGACCUUUGGUGACGUAGUCAUUCGUGUCAUCUUGCUCCUCGAAUAGUGGGUUCGAUGUACUUGGCCUAUCCAUCAUGGUCAAGUAGAGGUGAGUAGGAAAUGAGGGAACAAUAUAUUGAGGGUGUAUUGAGUAUAACUCAAUGUAGUGCUAUAAUAGUAGAAUUGGUAUCGGGUUUGUUUCUCACACCUACAAAAGUAAAGGCUUGUUGAGGAGUUUGGUUAGGAUGAGUGGCACAAAAUUCAAGCAAGUGUUAGUCAAGAUAUUGAUAAUGUUGAAGAGAUUCACAAAUUGCAAGUAAAACAAAUAGAUUAAAACCGAGGAUGACACUUGGAACACACACACGAAAGAUAAGUGCGAUCCGCGCAAUCAAGGAAUGAGCACAAAAUGCGAUAUCACCAAAAAUGCUCGUGUUGCACGGAUACUAGAGAUGAUAACUCGACCGCUCAAUGGGCUAGAUAUGCUGUGCACCAAACUAUUAGAGUAACAUGCCGUCUUCAAUCCCAAAUAUGCUAUGUGUAUAUGAUCCAAUAUGAUGUAAUUAUGCAAAAUGGCUCAAUGCUGCUGCUUACAAGCUCUUUGUUUCUCUUCUUUUGCUUAAAAGCCUUUUCCAUUUUUUUGUAUAUACUAUGCCAAAAUGCUUGAUGCUCGAGCCAAUAUAUGAGACAAGUAUGUAAGAUAUGCACGGGAGACACUUACGACACAAUGAUGGUAGCAAGAUGAUUGCACGCUAAAAGUAGCUAUGCGGCGUAAGCGUAUCACUAAGGUGCGAUAUGCACAGGAGACACUUACGACACAAUGAUGGUAGCAAGAUGAUUGCAUGCUAAAAGUAGCUAUGCGGCGUAAGCAUAUCACUAAGGUGCACAAAAGAGCGUGGCCAGGCAAUUCUCAACUCGCUAGUCUCGACAGGAAAGGAACACAAAAUGGCUCGGGGCUAUCAAUGCAACAGCAAGGAAUGUACAAAGAUGUCGUCGAGGUUACCGUCCUUGCUUACGGUUGGUAUGAAGGUGAAGAGGUUGUUGUCAUGUCGAGUCCGUGGCGAUGAUGAAUGGCGGUGAUGUUGAUGUUGAACCGUCCCUAAUUAGCCAAAACACCUUAGGAAACGAAAAUUGCAUGGGCACGAGGUUGAGGAUAAGUGAGGCCCGUGUGCACGGGGUCCCAUGGGCACGGGGUUGUCAGGGGCCUGUGCGCACGGGAUGUUCCGCUAGCACAAGAACACACCCAAAUCCGUGGUAAAAGAAAAAUUUCGGAGAAAAUUCGAUGGUGGAAGAGGUUGAGGAUGGAGGGGAGGGUCUGAUCCACUUGCCAAACCACAAAUUCGUGGACCAAAUCAACAAAAUCUCACAAGAUCUAACAAAUUGCAAAUUUUUUGGUAGGGCUAUGUUUGUGGGGAUUUAAGAAUUGGGACAAAAAUCAACAAAAUUAGGCUAGAAAAGUGGGGGUAGGUACUAAGAUGUGAAUCAACCUUGCUCUGAUCCAAGAUGAUGUAGGGUGGAACCCUAGUUUAUGAUCUUUUCACAUUUGGAGGGGAAAAAGGGGAAGAAUCAAGAGGAACACAAGAGAAAUCACUCGAACAAAACCCAAAUCACACAUCCACUAGAAUAGCAUACAUGAGAUCCACAAGUAUAACAUGAACAAUCAAGGGAAAAUAGCACAAAGGUAAGGUUCUUCUCAAAUCCAAAGGAGAUGAGGUCUUGAUGAUAGUCUUCUCCAAGAGGAGGUCUUGAUAUCCAUUUGGGGAUCUUCUCCUAAGAGGUCUUUGUUAGAGUUAUAAGUCAUGUACCCCUUUGUAUUUAUCCCGUUGUAUAAGGGGUUUCCUGCAUAUGUUCCACACCUGUACAUGUAUAUAUAUCGGCCUAUGGCCUCAUGGGAAUACUAGUUGCAUAUUUUCCUAACAUGGUAUUAGAGCUAGGUCAAUUUUUUGCACGCUGCAACUCGUGCUAAUUGAUCCGCCCCGCGACGCCAUUGUCCUCUGUGGCCGCCGCUCUGUUUCCCCGUCGCCGCUGCCUCUCUUCCCGAUCGAGCGCUGUGUCCCCGUCGCCGCUGCCUCUGCUCCCGAUCGACUGGGCCGCUUCUUCCCGAUCGAGCGCUGCGGCCGCCGUGUGGAUCGCCAGCUCCUCUCCUCCCGAUCGACUGGGCCGUGUGCCGCUGCCUCUCCUCCCGAUUGGCCGCCGCCAGGCUCCUCUGGCCGAUCGACUGGGCCGUGUGGAUCGCCCUCCCGCCGUGUGGAUCGCUAGGCUCCUCUCCUCCCGAUCGGCUGGGCUGCUGUCCCUCUCCUCCCGAUCGGCCCCUGCUGCCAGGCUGUCCAGGCCAACUUGGAGUUUCAUCGCGUCUACGAGUUCCUGUCUCGGCUCCGUAAGGAGUUUGAGCCCCGGCGUGCUCAGUUGUUUGCUCGUGGCCGUAUUUCUCUCAUGGAGGCGCUUUCAGAGAUUCGUGCUGAGGAGACUCGCUUACGUGGUGCUGGUUUGCUGGAGGUUCCCUCUGUGCUCGCUACUCGGGCUUCUUCCACUCCACCUGCUGCACCGCCACAUUCUCGCUCGAGUGCUCCGCCGCUCUUGCCCACUCCUUCUGGAGGCUCAGGUCGCCCCCGUCCACAUUGUGACUACUGCAACAAUGAUGGUCAUAUUGAGUCCCAGUGCUACACAAAGCGGAAACACCUGCGCAAGGCGCGAUCAUCCUCCUCGGGGACUUCGUCAUCUCCCUCGACAGCUUCAGCCAUUGCUUUGACUGAGCAGGAUAUUCUGAGACUUAAGCGUCUGCUCGCGGCUUCAGGUUCUUCCUCGACGGGUACUGCUGGUUCUGUGACUGAUGCUUCCCGCACUGAGCACCCGCCCUCUACACAGUCAGGAUCGUCGCACGCACACUCUGGUUGGGGCUGGCCCUCGCCGCCGUGAUUCUCAGGGUCUUUGGGAAUUGGACUGGCUUCAUGUUCCUUCUGCUGCCACCACCAUCGCCAGUCCCUCCGCUGCUGUCGCCUCUGUUACUGGUUCUUUCAAGCAGUGGCAUCAUCGACUUGGUCAUCUGUGUGGUUCUCGGUUAUCGUCUUUAGUUCGUCGAGGUCUUCCGGGGUUUGUCUCAGGAGAUGUCUCUUUAGAGUGUCAGGGUUGUCGUCUUGGCAAGCAGAUUCAGUUACCAUAUUCACAUAGUGAGUCAGUGUCUACGCGUCCUUUUGAUUUAGUCCAUUCUGAUGUAUGGGGUCUGGCUCCUUUCGCUUCGAAAGGUGGUCAUAAAUACUAUAUUAUUUUCAUCGAUGAU